GAUUUGUAAAUCUGUGCUUCAUUUGCAUUUUUGAUUUCCCUCAUUUGCAUUCCUCUUUCGAAAAAAGAAUGUAGUCUAGACACACCCAAUGACUAUUAGCUGAUUUCCUUUAAUUUAAACUUCAAUUCCAUGAAUGAACACCAAGCCUAUAUACGAUGUUGAAAUUUAAGGACUAAUCACCGUUCCUUUCUCCAAAUACUCAAAUUAAUAUUACAAAUGUAACUUAUACUUGACACUGACACAGUUUUGUUUUGAAGUUAAAUAGUUUAGUUGUGCAUGAUAGUAAAAAAAAAAAAUUUCAAACAUCAGUGGCCAAUUGUCUCUGAAGAAAGGUGCUAUAAAUGUAGAAUAAUUAAAAAUGGUAAGAGCAAUACGGGUCACAUUCAUUUGCCGAUCACUAGCUAAUGGUAUGAUCCAAAUUUGGUAGGCGGUAUUGAACUUGGUGAAUCUCAUCUGUGCCAUUUUUAGAAAUGUGUCAAUUGCAGAAAGUCUAUUGGAUCAUUUGAGGGAUGAGUCUAAAUUGUCAUGUUUGUUUCUUGGAAAGCAAAGCUACAGCUUAUGAGCAAAUUAUCAAUUUGGUAACCGUUGGAGGGAUUUACGGGAAGGAGCUUUUCCUCUCCAGAACAUACAAGCAGCAAUGAAAAUGAAAAAAGUUGGUACGCCUGCGGAGAGUGAAAGCCAUCACAUUAAGUGGCACCAUCAAGAUCCAGCUUUUAGGCUGAUAUUUUUUAUGAAGUUAAAAAUAACACAUUGUGUUGAUAUGAAAACAUAACUAUCUUCUGAGCCUGUAAACGUCACCAUGUUGCAGUAAGAAAUCUGCCGUAGUAGUGUGUGCCAUUUUUCAGUGGUGUGACACAACAAUUCUGUGUCCACACAAAUGCCUGCCUUCAAUGUUGGUUUUUGCUAUUUGUUUUGAAGGUUAAGAAAGGGGGCUUGAUCCACCUGCAAGUCACAUUAUGGAAGGGGGGCCAAGGGAGGAUAGAGAGUAAAACAACCAGAUGAAUUACAAGUUGAUACAUCAAGAGGUUUGUAAAAAAAACUACUCCACCACAAUUCAAACUGUUUGUAACAUGAGACAAUGGUGACCGGGCAGCCACCACCAGCUUCCCCAGGGCUGGAGCUGCAGCCGGGCAGUGGUGCAGUUUAGAAUGGCUUUCCUAAGCUACUUAUACUUCUAAGUCAUUAACAGAGCAGUUAAAAUUGAAACACAAAAAUACCAAUCAAAAAUUAACUCAGCACUAACUCCAAAUUAAACACACCCCCACACCUCAGUCCCAUUCUCACAUGGAUUUCACAAAAUUUUAGUCCUUUUAUCAUUUAAUUCACAAACACAAGGUCAUCUGCUUGUCUUGUAACAACUGCUUAUUUUAGUUUCUGAAAAUUGAAUGCAAUAAAAAUCUCACUUUUUAUGUCCACUGCAAGCUUCAGAGUCUGUCAACUGCAGCAGCCUCUGCAAGGUGCAUGCUAAACUGCAAGUACUUAUGUUGUAAACUGCCAAUUUAUUCACAACUGCACUGAUGUUUUCUUUUUUUGUCAGCAGUCUUGCCACCUGUUUUUUUUACACAUUCUCCCUUGUGAAAAAAAUGUGUCCACAUCAGAGUUGUCAAAUGUUAACCGGUUGAUCAGCUACACUAUUACAUCUCUAGCCACCAUCCCUCUGUGCAGAACCAAUAAGGCUAUAGAUCUGGUGCAUCUCCCACAUCAUGACAUCAUUACUGCACACAGUGAUAUUUGCUUUGGUGGAAGAAAACAUGAAGACAACUAUGAAAUGGUCUGGAGGUAUAUUUGAAGAUUUUUAAUUGGCUGUAGACACUUUCAUAGCACAUGUGCAUGCACACACAAAAUCUGUGGCCUAAAAAUGAAUAUCUGCGCUAUCUAUGUGUGGAUAACUAAUUUCUUAUCUGAUUUGUAGAGACAAGAGCUUCAUGGAGCUGUGACUUGUACAAAUAUUACCUUUAUACAAAUUCUACUAUAAACAGACAUACCGUGUAUUUUCAGAAAAAGUUGGGUAUUUCAAAGGUGGAUAUGAUGGUUAUCAUUUUUUUUCUGAUAGAAAACCUAAAACUAGACCACGAUCUCUUCCUACCUCAUAAGUUUCCAUGACCUUUGUGGUAUUUGACUCGCUCCUGAGCUUCUCAGAAACCAGAGCGACACUUUGCCAUCUGUACCAGAACACCACUGUUGUGGUAGAUCUGUGCUUCCUAGUAUAUGCAAUUCCCAUUAGAAUGAAAAGCUCUUCCUAAGUAAUUGCUUUGAUCGGAUGGAUUGCUUGGGGGGGAGGGAAGGAGAGGAAAAGAGUGUUAAGUCAAAAUACUCAUUUGCAAAUUUGUCAUUACUCCAUUAUAUUUGUUUUUCUGGCAGAAUAAAUCAUUGUCUUUUGAUGUUGUUGUUGUUUGGGGGGCAAGAAGGAGUUGCAAGAUAUCUUGUUCAUUUAAAUCAAAGCCUUUUUGUAGAGUUCUAGAUUUUUAGCUGUUGUCCACAUAUUUUUUUUUUGCAGCAUUCCAGUCAGCAACAUCCACGAUUUAGCAUUUUCACUUCAUUUUAUUUGCAGUGUAAAUAAGUGUCUUAUUACAAAAUUGAAGUUGUAUUUGGACAUAUUUUGGCUGUGAAUGCAUCUUUUCUUUACUGCAAAAUGAACCUUUUUGACUUGGAAAAAUUCCCAGUUUACUUUUCCUUACAAACACUUGUCAGGGAUGCUCUAGAUCAGCAGUUCUCAAACUUUUUGGGCUCUGGAGC